rnacentral:rRNA from 2 species
AGAGUUUGAUCCUGGCUCAGGACGAACGCUGGCGGCGUGCCUUAAUACAUGCAAGUCGAACGAACUCUGGUAUUGAUUGGUGCUUGCAUCAUGAUUUACAUUUGAGUGAGUGGCGAACUGGUGAGUAACACGUGGGAAACCUGCCCAGAAGCGGGGGAUAACACCUGGAAACAGAUGCUAAUACCGCAUAACAACUUGGACCGCAUGGUCCGAGCUUGAAAGAUGGCUUCGGCUAUCACUUUUGGAUGGUCCCGCGGCGUAUUAGCUAGAUGGUGGGGUAACGGCUCACCAUGGCAAUGAUACGUAGCCGACCUGAGAGGGUAAUCGGCCACAUUGGGACUGAGACACGGCCCAAACUCCUUACGGGAGGCAGCAGUAGGGAAUCUUCCACAAUGGACGAAAGUUUGAUGGAGCAACGCCGCGUGAGUGAAGAAGGGUUUCGGCUCGUAAAACUCUGUUGUUAAAGAAGAACAUAUCUGAGAGUAACUGUUCAGGUAUUGACGGUAUUUAACCAGAAAGCCACGGCUAACUACGUGCCAGCAGCCGCGGUAAUACGUAGGUGGCAAGCGUUGUCCGGAUUUAUUGGGCGUAAAGCGAGCGCAGGCGGUUUUUUAAGUCUGAUGUGAAAGCCUUCGGCUCAACCGAAGAAGUGCAUCGGAAACUGGGAAACUUGAGUGCAGAAGAGGACAGUGGAACUCCAUGUGUAGCGGUGAAAUGCGUAGAUAUAUGGAAGAACACCAGUGGCGAAGGCGGCUGUCUGGUCUGUAACUGACGCUGAGGCUCGAAAGUAUGGGUAGCAAACAGGAUUAGAUACCCUGGUAGUCCAUACCGUAAACGAUGAAUGCUAAGUGUUGGAGGGUUUCCGCCCUUCAGUGCUGCAGCUAACGCAUUAAGCAUUCCGCCUGGGGAGUACGGCCGCAAGGCUGAAACUCAAAGGAAUUGACGGGGGCCCGCACAAGCGGUGGAGCAUGUGGUUUAAUUCGAAGCUACGCGAAGAACCUUACCAGGUCUUGACAUACUAUGCAAAUCUAAGAGAUUAGACGUUCCCUUCGGGGACAUGGAUACAGGUGGUGCAUGGUUGUCGUCAGCUCGUGUCGUGAGAUGUUGGGUUAAGUCCCGCAACGAGCGCAACCCUUAUUAUCAGUUGCCAGCAUUAAGUUGGGCACUCUGGUGAGACUGCCGGUGACAAACCGGAGGAAGGUGGGGAUGACGUCAAAUCAUCAUGCCCCUUAUGACCUGGGCUACACACGUGCUACAAUGGAUGGUACAACGAGUUGCGAACUCGCGAGAGUAAGCUAAUCUCUUAAAGCCAUUCUCAGUUCGGAUUGUAGGCUGCAACUCGCCUACAUGAAGUCGGAAUCGCUAGUAAUCGCGGAUCAGCAUGCCGCGGUGAAUACGUUCCCGGGCCUUGUACACACCGCCCGUCACACCAUGAGAGUUUGUAACACCCAAAGUCGGUGGGGUAACCUUUUAGGAACCAGCCGCCUAAGGUGGGACAGAUGAUUAGGGUGAAGUCGUAACAAGGUAACC